UGGGGAAUUUUGGNCNAUGGGCGAAAGCCUGAUCCAGCCAUGCCGCGUGCAGGAUGAAGGCCUUCGGGUUGUAAACUGCUUUUGUACGGAACGAAAAGACUCUGGUUAAUACCUGGGGUCCAUGACGGUACCGUAAGAAUAAGCACCGGCUAACUACGUGCCAGCAGCCGCGGUAAUACGUAGGGUGCAAGCGUUAAUCGGAAUUACUGGGCGUAAAGCGUGCGCAGGCGGUUAUAUAAGACAGAUGUGAAAUCCCCGGGCUCAACCUGGGAACUGCAUUUGUGACUGUAUAGCUAGAGUACGGCAGAGGGGGAUGGAAUUCCGCGUGUAGCAGUGAAAUGCGUAGAUAUGCGGAGGAACACCGAUGGCGAAGGCAAUCCCCUGGGCCUGUACUGACGCUCAUGCACGAAAGCGUGGGGAGCAAACAGGAUUAGAUACCCUGGUAGUCCACGCCCUAAACGAUGUCAACUGGUUGUUGGGUCUUCACUGACUCAGUAACGAAGCUAACGCGUGAAGUUGACCGCCUGGGGAGUACGGCCGCAAGGUUG
rnacentral:rRNA from 1 species